rnacentral:rRNA from 1 species
AGUGAACGCUGGCGGUAGGCCUAACACAUGCAAGUCGAACGGCAGCACAGUAAGAGCUUGCUCUUACGGGUGGCGAGUGGCGGACGGGUGAGGAAUACAUCGGAAUCUACUUUUUCGUGGGGGAUAACGUAGGGAAACUUACGCUAAUACCGCAUACGACCUACGGGUGAAAGCAGGGGAUCUUCGGACCUUGCGCGAUUGAAUGAGCCGAUGUCGGAUUAGCUAGUUGGCGGGGUAAAGGCCCACCAAGGCGACGAUCCGUAGCUGGUCUGAGAGGAUGAUCAGCCACACUGGAACGGAGACACGGUCCAGACUCCUACGGGAGGCAGCAGUGGGGAAUAUUGGACAAUGGGCGCAAGCCUGAUCCAGCCAUACCGCGUGGGUGAAGAAGGCCUUCGGGUUGUAAAGCCCUUUUGUUGGGAAAGAAAAGCAGCAGGUUAAUACCCCGCUGUUCGGACGGUACCCAAAGAAUAAGCACCGGCUAACUUCGU